rnacentral:tRNA from 1 species
CGUCGGUCUAGGAGGUUGUAGCUUAAUUAAAGUGUUUGAGUUGCAUUCAGAAGAUGUGCAUUAGAGUUGUACUGGCCUU